rnacentral:rRNA from 1 species
CUCGCGGGACAUAGCUAGUUGGCGGGGUAACGGCCCACCAAGGCGACGAUGUCUAGGGGUUCUGAGAGGAAGGUCCCCCACACUGGAACUGAGACACGGUCCAGACUCCUACGGGAGGCAGCAGUGAGGAAUAUUGGACAAUGGAGGCAACUCUGAUCCAGCCAUGCCGCGUGAAGGACGAAGGCCCUAUGGGUCGUAAACUUCUUUUGUCGUAGAGCAAUAAGGUGUACGAGUACAUCGAUGAGAGUAUACGACGAAUAAGCAUCGGCUAACUCCGUGCCAGCAGCCGCGGUAAUACGGAGGAUGCAAGCGUUAUCCGGAUUUAUUGGGUUUAAAGGGUGCGUAGGCGGACGUAUAAGUCAGCGGUGAAAGGUACCGGCUCAACCGGUGAGCUGCCGUUGAAACUGUGCGACUGGAAUGCGGAUGCCGUGGGAGGAAUGUGUGGUGUAGCGGUGAAAUGCUUAGAUAUCACACAGAACACCGAUUGCGAAGGCAUCUCACGAAUCCGUUAUUGACGCUGAGGCACGAAGGCGUGGGGGAUCAAACAGGAUUUAGAUACCCCUGGUAGUCCACGGCGGUAAACGAUGAUGGCUAACUGCCGGCGAUACAUGGUCGGUGGCCAAGCGAAAGCGAUAAGCCAUCCACCUGGGGAGUACGACCGCAAGGUUGAAACUCAAAGGAAUUGACGGGGGCCCGCACAAGCGGAGGAACAUGUGGUUUAAUUCGAUGAUACGCGAGGAACCUUACCCGGGCUCGAACGGCUGAGGGAUGAAUUAGAGAUAGUUCAGUCCGCAAGGACUUCAGUCGAGGUGCUGCAUGGUUGUCGUCAGCUCGUGCCGUGAGGUGUCGGCUCAAGUGCCAUAACGAGCGCAACCCUUGUCGUCAGUUACCAUCAAGUGAAGUUGGGGACUCUGGCGAGACUGCCACCGCAAGGUGAGAGGAAGGGGGGGAUGACGUCAAAUCAGCACGGCCCUUACGUCCGGGGCGACACACGUGUUACAAUGGUGGGUACAGAGGGAUGCUACCUGGUGACAGGAUGCGGAACCCGAAAACCCAUCUCAGUUCGGAUUGGAGUCUGCAACUCGACUCCAUGAAGCUGGAUUCGCUAGUAAUCGCGUAUCAGCCAUGGCGCGGUGAAUACGUUCCCGGGCCUUGUACACACCGCCCGUCAAGCCAUGAAAGCCUGGGGCGCCUGAAGCGCGUGACCGAGAGGAGCGCUCUAGG